rnacentral:rRNA from 1 species
GAUGAACGCUGGCGGCGUGCCUAAUACAUGCAAGUCGAGCGAACGGACGAGAAGCUUGCUUUUCUGAUGUUAGCGGCGGACGGGUGAGUAACACGUGGAUAACCUACCUAUAAGACUGGGAUAACUUCGGGAAACCGGAGCUAAUACCGGAUAUUAUUUUGAACCGCAUGGUUCAAAAGUGAAAGACGGUCUUGCUGUCACUUAUAGAUGGAUCCGCGCUGCAUUAGCUAGUUGGUAAGGUAACGGCUUACCAAGGCAACGAUGCAUAGCCGACCUGAGAGGGUGAUCGGCCACACUGGAACUGAGACACGGUCCAGACUCCUACGGGAGGCAGCAGUAGGGAAUCUUCCGCAAUGGGCGAAAGCCUGACGGAGCAACGCCGCGUGAGUGAUGAAGGUCUUCGGAUCGUAAAACUCUGUUAUUAGGGAAGAACAUAUGUGUAAGUAACUGUGCACAUCUUGACGGUACCUAAUCAGAAAGCCACGGCUAACUACGUG